rnacentral:piRNA from 1 species
UCCUGAUGCAGUCCUCUCCAGGGAGGGCCUC